AUGCAUGUGUCACACAGCAGUUACCUGGAAGUGCCUUUUGCAGUUGGCUGCUGCUUUCCACUUAAUAAGCAUUCACCUGUUGAUUGGGUUUUCGUUCUUUUGUUCCUAAGGAAGAUGGUAAUUCUAAUAUCCCAAAAUGGCCAGGGAAAAGGAGGGAGGAAGAAACAUGUUCAUUAUGACGUGCUGCUUCGACAUGAAAAGCCUGUGGAUUUUUCCUCCCUGCUCCGUUUUCCUUUGUCUGACCUAACCUUCAAGAACUUGUGUUCUUGAAUAUGGGAAAGGACAGAGGGGAGUUGAAAAAGGGAUGGUUGUUGCCAUUUUCUUCACCUGCUGCAAUAAUUCUAAAUCAGGUAUUUUUAGACUUGUAGUUUCUUCAGAAAGACUAAGCCAAAAUUAACCUCUAAAUUUUCUAUCGCAUAGCAAAAGACUACAUUCAGAAAGGAGUGGCAAAGUGUCAGACAGAGUGUUGAUUUUCAGAAUUGCCUAAAGAACUAAUACUUCUUUCAGCAGCAUUCACAAUCUCCUUUGAGUGCAAAAGUGUUAGUAACCAAGUGUAACUAUAUAAAAAAGGCUAAAAUGAGGGGAAAGACAGGACAGAAAAAAGGAACUGUCUUCCUCCAAGAAACUGGAAAUGAGUCAUUAGAAGUGGAGCUGUGUCAGGGAGAGAUUUUCUUUGUUUAGCUCUGUUGUGGUUUAGACUGAAUUGGCCAAUUAUGAGAUGACAGAUGCUCUCUCCCCUUCUCAUUCCAAGAAAAGGAGGAGAUAAAGAGAUUUACAAGUUUAGAAAGGACUAAACUACUUUAAUGAAAUAUUAAUAAUAAAAUAAAAAUAACGAAAUAAAUACA
rnacentral:lncRNA from 1 species